rnacentral:rRNA from 1 species
GAUGAACGCUGGCGGCGUGCCUAAUACAUGCAAGUCGAGCGAAUGGAUUAAGAGCUUGCUCUUAUGAAGUUAGCGGCGGACGGGUGAGUAACACGUGGGUAACCUGCCCAUAAGACUGGGAUAACUCCGGGAAACCGGGGCUAAUACCGGAUAACAUUUUGAACCGCAUGGUUCGAAAUUGAAAGGCGGCUUCGGCUGUCACUUAUGGAUGGACCCGCGUCGCAUUAGCUAGUUGGUGAAGUAACGGCUCACCAAGGCAACGAUACGUAGCCGACCUGAGAGGGUGAUCGGCCACACUGGGACUGAAACACGGCCCAGACUCCUACGGGAGGCAGCAGUAGGGAAUCUUCCGCAAUGGACGAAAGUCUGACGGAGCAACGCCGCGUGAGUGAUGAAGGCUUUCGGGUCGUAAAACUCUGUUGUUAGGGAAGAACAAGUGCUAGUUGAAUAAGCUGGCACCUUGACGGUACCUAACCAGAAAGCCACGGCUAACUACGUGCCAGCCGCCGCGGUAA